ensembl:lncRNA
AGAAGCAUUUAGCUGCCAGGGAUGGAAAGCACAGCCCCAUCUUCAGCAAGAGGGGGCCGUGCGGUUUCCCACAGCAGGGAGUCCAAAGGGAGGCGGCUGGGAGUGUGAACUCCACACCCGCACAACCAUCAAGGAUCCAGCCGUGUUCAUCUUGGUGUGUCCCACAGAAAGGACAGCUUUCUCCUUUCCUUUCAUCUGUUUUAAGCAUGAGGAAAACGUUUCCUGAAGGUGUUCCUCUUCCGCUCCCUGUGCCUAAACGCCCCAGCCCCGAACAAUUCCCAGCAAGGCCACAGGCCCCUCGAGAUAGGCUGAGCCCUGUGAGCCUCAUCUUCUGGACGUCACAACCUGUGGGGUGGGGGUGCUAAUGGCAUCUGGUGGGUCGAGACCAGGGAUGCUGCUCAACAUCCUACAAUGCACAGGACACCCCCCCCCCCAACAAAGAAUUACCUGGCCCCGAAUACCAAUAGCGCGGAGGAGGUGGAGAAACCCCAGCUUAACCCAUUCGUGGUUCAACCCACGCCUAGGAGCCUAAUGUCUGGGGAACGUCUGAAAGCCCUCGUGAUCAGGCAGCACCCUGAGCCACUGCAUCAAAAUCCCUGCAGGGGGACCCGGACGGCGGGGUUUGUUUCACACCCGCUCGUGCAGUCCAGUGGGAAGUGCGUUUGAGAAGGUCUGUCUACUGCUGCUCAUCAGAUGACGGAAUCCGCCAAGGAAAUUAGGAUUCUGCCAACCUUCCGUCAGCCCAGCUGAGGCCCCCGACUUGGGCAGUCGAGACCCGCACACGAUAUCUGGCUUUCAGUUCAACUCCUGUGUCAUUUUUGCUUCAACGACUGGAUGGUGCCACCACUGUUAGAAUGAAAACGUUUCUGAUGCCCUGACAGGUGACGUCUUGUUAACCAGAUUCAACUUCAGAUGUCCGUGACGUUUCUGAUUGCCUGGGCCCGGCGAGGUGCUAUCACCUGCAUCGUCUCAUUAACUUCCCCACACACUCGAAGGUUGUUGACAUUAUCAGAAAGUUCUCCAGCUGGAAUUCUUCGCCCUCUAAGCAGCCUUCAAAAACUCCAUUCUUAAGCCACUGCUAUGUUUUAUUACCUCUUACCUUUUACAGGCCUGUCGAAGUUGCCAUCAAAACUCAGUGAGCGUUUCCAGAAAGAAACUUUAAAUAUUAAAUACGUUAAAACUAAAGGCCUGUUAUGCAGAAGAAAACCCAGUUAAUUUUGGUGGGCUAUGGAUUAUCAUCAGAAGAGUCAUUUCUGGAAAUUUAAAUAAUAUGGUUGUUUCUUUUAAUGAUGCAUUCUCCUGGAAAUAUAAGACCACUUGACUGAUUCUGCUCCAAAAUCCUAUUGCAGCCAAGGACGGGCCCAAAUUCUUCAUGGAGCAGAAGUCUGGAACUGGCUGGGUACACAGAGUGCAAAGCUGGAGAGGCUGCAAACCACGUCUUAAAAAGAAAUCAGCCUUUCCCCUGGAUAGGCAGACAGGCUAAUGUGAGCCAGGCUCAGAUGUUCCUCAGUUACAACCUGUGUUCAUCGGGCCCAUAAUUAAGAAUCUUAAAGGGAAAGAAACUUUUGAAAACAGCUGUCAAAAUCACGCUGUCUUGCUACCAGAAUUUUAAAAAGGUUUGUCGUUACCGCAGGUCACUGCUGGGGUCUGAGCCCUCGUCACUGUGGCCAGACCCUCUAUCAGAUCCUUCGUCUGAGAGGUUGAUUAGAUGAAACAGACACUUUGCCAGCAUCAUUAAAGGAAAUAUGGUACGAGUCUUUUAGUGGGUCAAGCUCAUUUCCUCAAACCCGAACAAGGUUUAACGGUGAUCUGCGACCCAACUUCGCCUUCCCCGUAAUGAAAAGCAGACCCUGCAGGACCCCUCUGGCGCAGGUGGGCCGGGAUUUCUGGAGUCACUUACUGAGAACGUUUUCUCCUCACCAUGAGCUCUGCCAGAAAUGUCUUGGGUUCGUCCAAGCUAAUCCAUAUUCGAGAACCAUGAUGGACAAGAUUCGUUAGCAAUGCCUUAACAAGUCACUAUCCGGCCAAUUCAGAACUUGAGGAAUCUCUUUGGUAUGAAGUAAUAUAAUAGACUGGGAAAACACUGCACAGAGAAAUGAGGCAGCACAGGAGAUGUUGUCAUGCUGAGUCACUCAGGCCUGGGCCAGUCCUAAGGUAGCUUAAAAGCAAUUGGUUCCUAGUUACCCAGAACAUCCUAGCACGGGGCAGAGCGUGACCUUUGCGGCCCCGUGAAAUGGUGGUUCACCCUCCAGCCCAAGGAGCCCAGCCUGAAGAGCCCUCACUGCGCGAAACUUGAAUCACUUCAAAUCAAUUUGCUUCUUAUUAAAAUGUACUUCAAUAAAACACCAUUUCAACUCUUAAGCCGCAAAAGGAUAUCGAAUCAUUUAAAGCUUUCUCAGUGUUUCAGUUGAUUUAAAAGGCGUUAGAGAGCACGGUAAAUAUUUUACCAGAAAGAUAAGUUAUCCAAUAAGGAGAUUAUUUAUUAAAAACUAGUCAUUUAUUAGUUCAUUUAUCUUUAUUUUCAGGAAAGUGUGUUCUUUUAAUCUGGGCACAGUUUUUUUCUAUUCCCACAGCAGGGUUAAGCUGUGAGGUGAUAAUUCUGUAACACAUAAAUGUAUCGAAAUAUAAUUUAACUUGUGUCAGUAACAAGAAAGAUAUCUGUAAAACUACAUUUUAUUCUUUUUUUUUUUUUUGGAGGAAGAUUAGCCCUGAGCUAACAUCUACUGCCAAUCCUCCUCUUUUUGCUGAGGAAGACUGGCCCUGAGCUAACAUCCGUGCCCAUCUUCCUCUACUUUCUAUGUGGGACGCCUGCCACAGCAUGGCUUGCCAAGUGGUGCCAUGUCCACACCCGGGAUCCAAACCUGCGAACCCCAGGCUGCCGAAGUGGAAUGUGCACACUUAACCUCUGUGCCACAGGGCCAACCCCUAAAAUUACAUUUUAAAAGAACUUUUGGAGGGUUUUAAACAUAGUUUCCUGUACUUAAAAAGAAAUUGUGUUUGCUGUUUUGAAAAAGAACAAGUUAGUCAUUUAUUUUUUAAUUCAUCCUUCCUGAAGGAAAUAAUUAAGGCAGGAGCUUUUUUUUCCUCUGAUUGGUAGAAAGAAAAGCAUUUAAGCCCAAAAUCGAGGCACUGAGUUCAA